rnacentral:rRNA from 1 species
AUGGCUAGGCAGAAAUACGACUCCCAGUGGAAGGAAGUAAGGCUCAUCAAUGCCUAUGCAGUGCUUGUUGUGUAUGUGUUGCACACGAUCAGAGGGAUAGGCUUCCUGGCGAUGACAUGGAGCACGGUGGUUCUUCUCGGUGGCUUCGUCUCCAUGAUAGACAAGGUGGAUUUUGGGCGUCUCACUCUGAUUACCCUCAUACAGAUACUCUGGAUAAACGCCUCUUUCCUUCAAAUGAUGGGAUCAGCUGGUGAUUUGUCCUCGAGUUUGAAGGCCGUGGAAAUUCUUUUGACGCGCAAGUAUCAGCAGGCUGCUAAUGCGCGCAAUGAUCACUCGGAACUGCCAGUCUUUAAGCAAGUUGUGAAAGCGCUACGUGUGGUGAUAGGAUGGGUUCUAGCGGUGGUUCACAAUGUAGUUUUGUACUUGACCAUCUUGUCUGUGGCGUGCCUCUUCUUGUUUGGGCUGUUGAUCACCACUUCGGUUUCGAUGAUCGGUCUAAUGAAGCACGACUACUAUGGGAACACGGAUGAGGGCAGAGUAAACAUGGAUCCGGCACAUAAUAUCUUGUAUGUCCUGUGUGUGGUCCAAGGCGCACUGUUCGUGUAUAGAAUCACAUUGAUACCUUCGAGGAAGAGAAUAGUGAAGCAAGUGAGCCGAACAUACGGGUUCCGUGAUGAUGGCCGUUCAGUUUCAGGCUACUUAGACGAAUUCAGCAAAGGAUACCUUAAGAAGACAUCAUCCGCCAGAGAAAGAAACCUCAUCACAUAUGCUGUACAACUAAUGGAGUCGGAGUCAUCCCGUAGCUGCCUUUCCGGAGCACUGAUACUGGACAGACUACUCGCCCGGCAGCGUUCAGACAAGAUCAAAGCUCAUGAGUUAAUCAAACAAGAAGAAGAAAAACAGCAAGGGCAAUUAGAUUUAGAGGAAAACACUAGAGCUCCUUUGUUUCAGACGGAUGUGAAGAAGAAAGAGGAGAAUAACGAGGUGGGGAAUAAGAGGGAGGAAAGGAGGGAGGAGAUGAAGAAGAAGAGGGAAGAGAGGAAGAAGAAGUGGGACCAAAAGAGGGUGGAGAGGAAGAAGAAGAAGAGAGAGGAGAGGAAAAAGAAGAGGCAUCAGCAUCAGCAUCAGCAAACAGAGGAGGAGAUCAUGGUGCAGCAGUGCAAGGUGAUAAAGCGGCUGAUCGGGUCUGCGUCCUCCGCCCACAUUCUACAGAAACUGCUUCACACACUAGACUCAAGACGCUCAAGUGACAAAUUGAUGAGGGAAGCUGCUGCGAGGAUAGUGGAGCACGUUGCUGGAGUGAUACGUUUGAACCAGUUCCCGCAAGGGAUCCAAUGCAUAUCUUCACUCAUCAACUACUUCGAAGAAUACCGUCGACUCCAGCCAUAUCAAUCAUCAUCAUCCUCAGUCAACACAAAUGAAGACAUUACAACUGCGACAAAAACAAACAAUGGUCAUGAUCAGAAACAAGGCAGCAGCAACAACACUUCGCCAUCCGAGUCAGAGUUGGAUUACUCAGAGUCAGAAUCAGACACAGACUCAGACUCAGACAGCGGGGUUGAUCGGCCAUCAUCACCUAAGACGCUCCAUGGCUACAAAGAAUUGGUGCUGACUGGCCUGCGUAUCCUUUGGAGACUUGCAGGCAGUGAGGACAACUGCACAAUCAUAAGCAACACCAAACAUCUUGUCUCCAAGAUCAUGGCGCCUAUUAGCUACGACCUAGUGCACCUCACAGGUCAUAGUGAAUGGUCCACUCAGGUAGUAGAGAGAUCAUUGGGGGUGAUGCUUCGGUUGAUUGUGACUGCCAAGGGAGACACUGGGGAAGACCUGCGUCAACGGAUCUUAAGUGAUGAAGGAGCAAUUUCCACCAUGAAAAAAAUUGUUGUCUGCGAAGAAUGUAAAGGUGGAGAACCGCAGAUGAAGGCCAUGCAGAUCCUCACGCAGCAAUGCAUGGAUGAAACUGUAAACAGAGGUAAUCUAACUAAGAUGCUCGUAAGCAUCUUCGUUGAUGGCGAUAGCAGCAAUGCCUCCAUCAGAAAGACUGCAGGUAAAACACUGGUGGUGCUGUUUCGCAGCAGCAAAAGCGCCGCCACCCUUCUCCCGAAGGAGGAACAUGAUGACUUUGUUGGUGGUCUUGCUAAAAUACUUUUACAAGUUGGAGACAACAACACAUGCAGAAACUAUGCUGCAGAAAUUCUGGAGCAUCUAUGUAUUCAGUAUGCUGAGAAUGGUGAAUAUCUCAGCACACUCAAGAACACCAUUACAGGUGUGAUGCCAGAGGUACUCAGAGAAAUGUGCCAUGGGUCAACAGAAGAAGCAGAAAAGCCUGAGUAUGCCAGAUCAGAUACUGAUGUCGAAAGCCAAAGCAAAACCAAGAAGAAGAGAAGGAACAAGAAGAAGAAUGCUUCACCCUCUCCUAGACAAAACCAACACCACAAGCUGCAUGUUGCCCUGCUAUCGCUCUGUGUGACGGCAUGUGACAAAUUACACCUUGAUCUCGAUGCAAUUUCAAUGGGAGAAGGAAGAGAUCAGGCUACAGAUCCAAGAGAAUCUGUUACGUUCAGCCUUGCGAUGAAAAUGGUGCGGUUAAACAGGGAUAUUAUAACCCCCGAUAGCCUGACAGCAAUGAAGCUUACCACUAGGAUGGUGAUAGCAGCAAUGAGGAAACUCGGGGGCAACGGCGCCGGUGUCGACCGAGCUAAUCUCGAGAGCCUCAUGGACUCCCUGUCUAGUGUUUCAGAGACCAUGUUGGAUCUAGAGGGAUGCAUGGUUUUCGCUACCGAGACGACCACGACAAAACCUGCCACUAUCGACACCCUCAGCUCCCUCGUGAAACAAGCACGGCAACUUCACGGAGAAAUUAAGGGCCAAGACUCAGAAAUAGUGACAGCUAGCUAG